GGCGAACGGGUGAGUAACGCGUGAGAAACCUGCCUUCAUCGGGGGGAUAACACUCCCAACGGGGUGCUAAUACCGCAUGAGACCACGGGAUCGCAUGAUCCUGAGGUCAAAGGUGGCCUCUAUUCAUAAGCUACCGGAUGAAGAUGGUCUCGCGUCCCAUUAGCUAGUUGGCGGGGUAACGGCCCACCAAGGCGACGAUGGGUAGCUGGUCUGAGAGGAUGGUCAGCCACACUGGGACUGAUGAUACGGGCCAUGACUCCUACGGGAGGCAGCAUGUCGAGAGGCUUCGGCAAUGGGGGAAACCCUGACCGAGCGACGCCGCGUGGGGGAUGAAGGCCCUUGGGUUGUAAACCCCUUUUAUUCGGGAAGAAAUGUGAUCAGGUGAACAAUCUGGUCAUUUGACGGUACCGGAUGAAUAAGCUCCGGCUAACUCCGUGCCAGCCGCCGCGG
rnacentral:rRNA from 1 species